rnacentral:rRNA from 1 species
AGAGUUUGAUCCUGGCUCAGGAUGAACGCUGGCGGCGUGCCUAAGACAUGCAAGUCGAGUGGGUUUAGACCCACGGCGAACGGGUGAGUAAUACCUAGGAACUUUCUUUAAGUGGAGCACAACCAGUCGAAAGAUUGGAUAAUACUUCAUGUGACCGCAAGGUUAAAGUCGCAAGACGCUUAAAGUGAGGCCUGGGCACCAUCAGCUAGUUGGUAAGGUAAUGGCUUACCAAGGCUAUGACGGUUAGGGGUCCCGAGAGGGAUAACCCCCACACUGGAACUGCGACACGGUCCAGACUCCUACGGGAGGCAGCAGUUUGGAAUUUUGGACAAUGGGCGAAAGCCUGAUCCAGCGACGCCGCGUGGACGAUGAAGGCCUUCGGGUCGUAAAGUCCUUUUGCUCGGGAACAAUAUUUUGAGCGUACCGAGAGAAUAAGAGGUUGCUAACUCUGUGCCAGCAGCAGCGGUAAUACAGAGACCUCAAGCGUUAUCCGGAAUCAUUGGGCGUAAAGCGUACCGAUAGGUGGUUUUACAAGUCAGAAGUGAAAUCUUCAAGCUCAACUUGGAGUCUGUCUUUUGAAACUGUAAAACUAGAGGGGCAAAGAGGAAGCUGGAACGAACGGUGUAGUAGUGAAAUGCGUUGAUAUCGUUCGGAACACCAAUAGCGUAGGCAGGCUUCUGGGUGCCACCUGACACUGCUAGGACGAAAGCGUGGGGAGCGAAUGGGAUUAGAUACCCUGGUAGUCC